UACGAAGACCCCAAGCGUUAUCCGGAUUUAUUGGGCGUAAAGAGCACGUAGGAGGCCGAGUGCGUCGUGUGUUAAAUCUCACUGCUUAACGGUGAAAUCGCACACGAUACGGCUCGGCUUGAGGGCGCUAGAGGUCAGUGGAACAUAUGGUGUAGGGGUGAAAUCCGUUGAUAUCAUAUGGAACACCAAAGGCGAAGGCAGCUGACUGGAGCGUACCUGACUCUCAGUGUGCGAAAGCGUGGGGAGCGAAGAGG
rnacentral:rRNA from 1 species